rnacentral:rRNA from 1 species
GGAGGGUGCAAGCGUUGUUCGGAUUCACUGGGCGUAAAGGGCGUGUAGGCGGAGAUGUAAGCUGGAGGUGAAAGCCCCGGGCUCAACCCGGGAAUUGCUCCCAGAACUGCAUUUCUAGAGAGAGUCAGAGGCAGGUGGAAUUCCAGGUGUAGAGGUGAAAUUCGUAGAGAUCUGGAGGAACACCGGCGGCGAAGGCGGCCUGCUGGGACUCUUCUGACGCCGAGGCGCGAAAGCGUGGGGAGCAAACAGGGAUUAGAUACCCUGGUAGUCCACGCCGUAAACGAUGAGCACUCGAUGUGCGAGGUACGACCCCCCCCCUCGCGUGUCACAGCUAACGCAAUAAGUGCUCCGCCUGGGACUACGGUCGCAAGCUAA